ACUUUCCUACGGGAGGCAGCAGUAGGGAAUUUUCGUCAAUGGGCGCAAGCCUGAACGAGCAAUGCCGCGUGAACGAGGAAGGUCUUCGGAUCGUAAAGUUCUGUUGAAGGGGAAAAAGAGCGGAGAGAGGAAAUGAACUCCGAUUGAUAUUACCCUUCGAGGAAGUCACGGCUAACUACGUGCCAGCAGCCGCGGUAAUACGUAGGUGGCGAGCGUUAUCCGGAAUGAUUGGGCGUAAAGGGUGCGUAGGCGGCCUGCUAAGUC
rnacentral:rRNA from 1 species